UUUGUUACCAGUUCCUUCCACCGCUUUCAUUUUUGUUCCUCAUACUUCUCCCACCGCCUCUCUUAUCAGAUAUCUUCUCCACCACCUACACGUACGUCUUCGACCGUACCUCCGGCCUCUGUGGCCUUCUUUCUAAUCGAAUCGGAGGAGAGGUCAUGUAGAUCACUGUCGUCUCCGAUUGAAUCAGGGAUAUUAAGACGUGUCGAUGGGCCACGGAGGUAGAAAACGUCGGUGUCGUAGGCACGACCGGCGUCGACGGGGGAGGAGUAAGAACCAAACCAAAUACGAGAACGUUUAUCGAGUUCUCGAAUCUCGGUGACCCACUUCCCCCACUUCCUCAUCCUGAUUCCUCUGUAGUAGGGUUUGUUUGUUUCAAUUGACUGAAUCUCCUUUCUCUUAGAUGUUGAACAGCCGCCGUCUGCCUCUAUGUGUGGCGGUUGUGAUUGUCGUAUGGUUCAUCUUCUGUUGCUGUUCCUGUAACUGGCCGGCGUAGGUGCCGCCGUUUUGAAGCCUUUUCUGUUCUUCCCCAGUAUGUUGAUUGUGGUGACUGUACCUGGGUUUGUGAGUUCUGUGGUGCUUUUUUCUGGUAUGUCGAGAGGGCCGUUAAUCUAUCUACAUCUGCACAUCUGAGGUAUAAUCAUUGUUGUAGGGGUGGGAGUGUAGUUCUUCCUUAUCCUUCUAGGUUUCCCCCUUAUUUUGUUGCCCUAUAUGGCUGGAAACGGGAGAGCUUCCACAGUACCACCACACUUCUCUUGCCAUUGCCGAUGACAAACACAAAGCCUUGGUAAGAUACCUUAAUAAGUUUAUUUCUUUGAUUUUUUCACUUUUCAUCAUAUCUUUCUGUUUGUAUAAGUUUUCUUUGCCUAAUUGAGCCAUAAUACUAAUUUCUUUGCUUCAAUUAUAUCUUUAUGUAACGGUGUUGUAUACAGAUUACAUGCAGCUGAUCUUUUUUAUCAGAAUUUGUUGUUCAAGGUUUGUCUGCCACCUGCUCGAUGAAAUGCUUAAGAGAAUCUUGUGUUUUUAUUCAACAUGCCACUAUUCCUUAGCAUUAAAAAUGUCAGUUAGGUACUUAACAAGGUUAAUGCCUUUUAUAGGGACAAAAAUUUAAGGUCCCUGCAAAUGCGAUACAAUUGGUUAUCAGUUGUUUGUUAAGUCAGUGAAUGAUAUAAGUGAAAUUUAUUUUAGAAAAUUUUAAUUUCUGUUUCUGCUCAAAGUCUCUAAAGGUUAACUUUUUUCACCAAGUAUUUAUUAUUUAUAUUGAUUUGGAAAGGUAGGUAAAUCCGUAACUAUGUCACCAAGGCGGCUGAAAUUUCAGUUUUUCGUGUUUCAUUAUUUGACCCCUAAUUUUUUCUAUUCUUUUUUAGAUUUGACGUUUGUAGGUAAUUCCUUUCGUUCUCUUUGAUUUUUAGAUCGUUUAAAGAUCCCGGAAGCCAUCACAGCCAUAGAGAACCACCACCAGCAGCCAUAUGACCACCAGUUGAACACCACAUGUGGGUGAUGUUGGGGCUGUUGUCCUAUCAUGGUGGUGGCUUGCUUUUGGCUGGUGUAUCUCCCAAAUGCUAGCCUAAUAUUGUUCGUAAUUAAGUACAAGAAAUCCAAUGUCAUUAAAAGUCAGGUUACUGAAAUUAUAAACCUAUCAAAGGCUUUUCAACAACGUUGUAAAUAUGAUAAUUUUAUAAAUGAUAAAGCCUAUGGAUGUAUGCAUCUUAAUUACUACAUCGAGGAUGAGACAAUGAAGCUAUUUGUAAUUAGGAAGCUCACUUUUAAAUGAAAGUGUCUAUAUAAAUAUCUAAUUCAUCUUGCCAUGCAUGGAGUAAUAGAUUAAAUAUAAAAGCCAUAUAAUGUGAAGAAUGUGGUAGCUUUACACGUAUUAUAGCAUGGUCAUGUUUUGGUCCUUAUGUUAUGGUUUUAUGAUGUAUUGGACAUUUUUGCCCCUCUUUUGUUUUUUGGUUUCCUCCUUGGUGUUGCAGGCAGUUUGCUUGACUCCGGUGUGCUUGAAAGCAUUUAUAUAAAGUUUGUUCCUCAUCGCUAUAGUCUUGCUGCUGUCUUUUGCUGCUUUCUUUGUUUUGGACCAUUUUGCCCCUACUUACUUCUGUUGUUUCUUCUUACUUCUGCUGUUUCUUCUUACAACAGGUUGCCGUUGGAACCUUGACUUUGCACUAAACAGACUUCUACAAUAACGAAAAAAGAGAAAGAAGAAGCCAAAUAAGGAUGAAAUAAAGUUUCCUGGGCGUGAAGAGAUCAAAUUUAGAGAUGUUAAACUCCACCAAACUUGGUCGAUGUUCCCAAGGGACCUGUUGUCCAGAUUUUUUUAAAGAUCCGCAAGUUACUUACCCUUGCUGCCACAUUAAACGACUUAACACGUGGACUCAAGCUCCCACCAAAUCAUCCAACUCUUAAAUCAGAUCAGAUCACAGGCUUUUGGAGAAUGAGUGCUGUGGACGAGGAGUUGGCGAACUUAAACGAAGUUGUAAUGAAGCGUUAUGACGGUGGAGAGUCAAAGGGAAACUUUGACCCCGAAAAGUAUAUAUAGGCUUAUUUACCUGUUAGACUCAAUGAGCAACAAGUGACAAAUUUAUUGCAAUGUAUAAUUCCCAUUUCAAUUCUUUGGGGUUACUUUGCUUACAUGUCAAUUUUCAUUAAGAUUGUUGCUCUUUUUCAUCCCUCAAGUCGGUUAAGACGUUUCUAGACCUCAAGAGCUGGAAGCAAGUCGGUUAAGCUUUGGCGGUACUAACCCCGGUUGGAGGCGGUGUUAAUUUGUGAGCAGAAGAGAAACACCGUCAAAGGCAAAAGAAAAAGAGCAUCGACCGCGAGAAAAGAAAGAUAGAAGAAAAGAAAAAUCUAGGAACGGUGGGUGAUGUUGAUGUGUUGGCGAUGGAGGGAGGUUCCGACACAGAAAAUGGAAUGGAGCAGAUAUAUGAUUUCUCGAGAUUGGGUUGCUAUUUCUUGCAUGACAGUUAUUGAUUGAAUUGUAUUUUUAUUCACCAUUUUCUUUUUUGCAGGUUGUAAUAAAAAAAGAAAGAGGCAAUCCUCAUCCCAUUGUUCCUUGAGUUAAAUAUAGCUGCUGGAGAAAAAGUUUGUGGUUCCAUUGAAGGUGUUAAUCUUCUUGAACCAAAUUCUAAUAUUGACAUGCUUUGUUGGCUGAAACAGAUCUUGAUUUAUAUUAUCUUCACAUUCAGUCAUGUGACGAAGCAAAUGGCACUACUGCAACUCAGUUAAGCGUCUACCAACAACCUCUAUGUAUGCUAUGUUGCUAUUUGUAGAAAUACUUUUUUGCUAAACCAUAUAUUACCUCUUUGCCCUCCGGACCCGUUUAUGCGUCUGGAACCGAAACAUGAAGAAUGGAAUCGGGUUCAUCCAAAUGUGCUUCAUUGGACUGAUGUUAAGUGGGUUUUUUUUGCAUAUCUUAGAAUAAAAUACUAAAAUAAGGCAAUGUAUUUUCAUUUUAAUGUUUAGCUUAAUGUCCUUUAUUUUUAUUAUUUUAAGUAUCAAAAUUGUAAAAGGGUGAAUUGCAGAGAAUAGCAAUAUACUUAACUGUGGCUACCAAUUAAUACAA